GCUUACAGGGCCUUACCAGACGAACGAUCCGUAACGUUCGGGAAGAUGAUCGCCACAUUGGACUGAGAACACGUCCCAGAUUCCUACGGGAGGCAGCAGUGGGGAUAUUGACAUUGGGGGACCUGAUCAGGCAAUGCCGCGGUGUGGUGAGAAGCCUUUGGUGUUAAAGCACUUUAAAGUGGGGGAGGAGGCUUACCUUGGUUAAUACUUGGGCUAAGUGGACGUUACCACAGAAUAAGCACCGGGCUAACUCUGUGCCAGCAGCCGCGGUAAUACAGAGGGUGCGAGCGUUAAUCGGAUUUACUGGGCGUAAAGCGCGCGUAGGUGGUUAAUUAAGUCAAAUGUGAAAUCCCCGAGCUUAACUUGGGAAUUGCAUUCGAUACUGGUUAGCUAGAGUAUGGGAGAGGAUGGUAGAAUUCCAGGUGUAGCGGUGAAAUGCGUAGAGAUCUGGAGGAAUACCGAUGGCGAAGGCAGCCAUCUGGCCUAAUACUGACACUGAGGUGCGAAAGCAUGGGGAGCAAACAGGAUUAGAUACCCUGGUAGUCCAUGCCGUAAACGAUGUCUACUAGCCGUUGGGGGAUUUGAUCCUUUAGUGGCGCAGCUAACGCGAUAAGUAGACCGCCUGGGGAGUACGGUCGCAAGACUAAAACUCAAAUGAAUUGACGGGGGCCCGCACAAGCGGUGGAGCAUGUGGUUUAAUUCGAUGCAACGCGAAGAACCUUACCUGGCCUUGACAUAGUAGAAACUUUCCAGAGAUGGAUUGGUGCCUUCGGGAAUCUACAUACAGGUGCUGCAUGGCUGUCGUCAGCUCGUGUCGUGAGAUGUUGGGUUAAGUCCCGCAACGAGCGCAACCCUUUUCCUUACUUGCCAGCAUUUCGGAUGGGAACUUUAAGGAUACUGCCAGUGACAAACUGGAGGAAGGCGGGGACGACGUCAAGUCAUCAUGGCCCUUACGGCCAGGGCUACACACGUGCUACAAUGGUCGGUACAAAGGGUUGCUACACAGCGAUGUGAUGCUAAUCUCAAAAAGCCGAUCGUAGUCCGGAUCGCAGUCUGCAACUCGACUGCGUGAAGUCGGAAUCGCUAGUAAUCGCGGAUCAGAAUGCCGCGGUGAAUACGUUCCCGGGCCUUGUACACACCGCCCGUCACACCAUGGGAGUUUGUGCACCAGAAGUAGGUAGUCUAACCGCAAGGAGGACCGCUUACCCCUUUUGUUGUCCCCCG
rnacentral:rRNA from 1 species